ensembl:lncRNA
CCAAUGCCAUGCUGGCUUGUGUCAAAAAUAGUGUUGCCAGCAGGAGCAAGAAACUGGUUAUCCAUCUGUGAGUACUGUGUUCAGUUUUGUACCCCGCAGCACAGGAAAGACAUUGAAGUCCUGGAGCAUGUUCAGAGAAGGACAGUGAAGCUGGUGAGAGGUCUGGAGUGCAAGUCUUAUGGGGAAUGACUGAGGGAACUGGGAUUGUUCAGUCUGGAGAAGAGGAGGCUUCUGGGAGAUCUUAUUGCUCUCUACAACUAUCUGAAGCGAGAUUAUGGCAAGGUGGGGGUCAGCCUCUUCAAUCAUGUAGCUAGCUAAAGGGAAUGGCCUCAUUUUGCACCAGGGAAGAUUAAUGUUGGACAUUAGGAAAUACCUCUUCUCCAAAAGAGUGGUCAGAAACUGGAAUGGAAUGGAAUUGACUGCUCAGUGGGGUGGUGGAAUCACCAUCUCUGGAAGUGACAAAAAAUUUUUUGAUGUUGUACUGAGGGACAUGGUUUAGUGGUAAAUAUUGGUGAUAGGUGGAUGGUUGGUGUGCAUGAUCUUGAAAGUCUAUUUCAAUCUUGGUGAUUCUAGGAUUCUGUGACCGAGAAUUGAAACAGGUUGCCGAGAGAGGUUUUGGUGUCUCCUUCUCUGGAGACGCUAAAAACCUGUGUGGUCACUUUCCUGCAUAAACUGCUCUAGAGAAUCUGCUUUACCAGCUCUUGCACUGAGGUUUAAUAUCUUUUGAUACAACAAAGCAUUGUAAUUUUUGUACUGCUUAAGUCCAUUCCUUUGUGACAUUAGUCAAAUGUUAUUUCUUUGAUUUGGGCUGUGAUUAUUUCUGCAUAUAAACUCCUGGAAAUCUGUAUUGUAGUAGAGCAGACAUUCUUAGCGUAUUGUACCUGUUGUAAAUAUUAAACUUUUAAAUUAAAAAAAAAAAAAAAAAAAGUAAUGGAAGUCUUUCAUAAAAGUAACAGGUGAUGAUAGCUCCUUGUUAAAUCAAA